CAUUUUCUUUGCUAUAUUCAAAGAAGUAUCUUUAAUGUUAUAUUAUUUGUGAACAUCUUCUCAUUCAAUUAUCAAAAAUGUUAGAUAUCAAUGUUAUAUUGUAUCAGAAAAAAAAUUUAAAUAAAUAUUAUAAUUCUGCAUGAUAACUUUUAUUUUUCAAGGAAUCACAAGGAUUAUCUGAUUAACAGCUUUACAAUAACAGAAGUACAAAAUAAAACAUUAUUUUCUAGAUAUAGCAAUUUCAUUCCUAAGUGUAGUCCAUACAUAUCCGGUACCUCUUUCUGUGAGUGGUGGUGGAUAUGGUGUAUUUUUUAGUUUAUAGUAAUCUGAUGGUGCAUGCAUUACAAAUUCCAUGCACUCCAGUUUACGUGGGAGAUCUUCUUCUGGACCUAUAAUGUACGUUUCAGGACUAAACCCUUCAUCCGGUGGUGGGCUAGAAACAAAAUACAUACAUAUUAUCAUUAUUUUCUUUCUUCUUAAGAGUAAUGAAUUAAUUGAAAUAAAGAUAUGUAUAUAUUAUACCUUGCUGUGGUAGGCAAGAGCCAAGUAACAGCAGCACUUUUUUCACAGUACUGAUCAGUGAGCAAGCCACGAAUUUGGGCAUAAUAAAUUCCUCCAUCGAUAUCUUGCAUAGAGACUAUAUCACCCACUUGAAAAUAAGUGCCUUUAUAGAACACAUAAUUACUUGUAACCGGAGUUGCUGUGGCUGUUGGUGCUUUAACUGGCUAAAGGAAAAAAGAAAUAAAAUAAAGAAACAAGGUACUACUUUGUGCGGUCCAGCAGACUUUGAGUUACAGUAUCUCGUGAUCCUUGUACUUCUCCUGGUAGGCCUCAACGAACCUCCCUUGUCCUCAUCCUCGGUUUUCGCAGUUGAAUUCGCUUCGGAAUUUCUCUCCUCCUCGAGACAAGCAUUGCAAAGGUUACCGGCUUCAGUUGAGUGCCAAAGCGGGGUCUCUCGAGUCCCACACUUAACACAUUCAGGUUUGCUGCCGAGAGGCAUUGAGUUCUAACUAAUUCGAUCUCAUUAAUUAUUCAUUCACCGUCAGUCAACCAACGAAUGUUUCUUUCAAUCUGGACCGCGAUCUUUUGGUCGAUUGAGUUUCACUCAAUCUCAUUUUGACUCGAAACUUAAUUAUAUGAAAUAAAAGUAAAAGUUAACAAGUUUCAUGUACGUACGUGCAUUUCAUAAAGAAUAAAGGAUUACUGAAACGUUUAAUUAGAACGCGUUUGUGAACAUUUUCCACGUUUGUUGUGUACAACAGGCGAUUGUAUACAAGUUAGUUACACAGUCGAACAGUGCGUUCAAAGUAUAAAAUCCCUAGCAUUCAAACGUGAAGCAAGUCACAUGAAUACUGAAUAGUUUUAGAUAUUGUGCGGUGAAUUAAAAUGAAUUCGUAUUUCAGUAUUAUAAUAUUUAUUUCUGGUGACAAGAAUAAUAACAUGUGGUAUGCGAAAACAAUUUAUUUUUAUUAAAAUCUGAUUGGUCUUUCACACAGUGACAUAAUAGUGUACUAAAUUUCAUUAGUUUCAAUUUGAAUCUUCACAUAUAAAUGUACAUUUUUAUAUUGCUAUUUAUUUACUGUAUAAAGUGGAUGAAAAUACGACAUUGCAUAAAACUGUAGUCGAAUUGUUUUAAAAUUUAAAAAACACACAUUUGUUUAGGUACAGCUACAGAGUGAUGAUUCAUGAUAGUGUGUAAAUAGAUUUUUUAUCAACCUUUUCUUUUUAUUGACUUGUUUCUAAUCGUUUAAUCUCUUUUGAAAUCUCAGCCUUCCUCGCUAACUUAUCAAGUAUUUCCUUCUCUGGAUUUUUCAAUAAUCCACCCUUGAUCUUUUUUUCUAAAGUCUCAAUUUCUCGAAUUUUCUUUUUUAAAUUUUUUAAUCUUUUUAGUGGAUCUGGUGUAGCAGUUUCAGACUGGUCAGUCACAUUUGGUUUUUCUGUUGAGAUUUGAUUAUUUGGUAUUGGAUUCGCAUUAGAUUCUGGUUUGUUAUUCUGUUGCAAGGCUUCUUUCUUUUGUUCUGGUUGUGAAAUUAUAGUUUUAGCCAAUUCUUCUGUUAUAUGUUCCAUUGUUUUAUUUUUAUUUUUUUUCUUCUUCUUUUUGACUUCUGAUUUCACUGGUGCACCAGGAACGGUUUUAGCCUUGGCUGCCAGCAGCAUUUCCUUUUUAGCUUUAUGCUCAGCUAUGAAUUCUGGACUUGCACCUACCGGAUAUAAGGGUUUAUUUUUUAUUUGUUUCCCUUUGCUUUCAUAUCUGAAAAGACAAUGAUGAGGAUGCUGAAUUCUAAACAAACAAUGAUAAUAUAGUUUUUCUGACAAAUCAUCACAUACAAUGGAACUUCUUCUUGUGGAAUAUAUCCAUCUUUUACACGCCGUGGCUUGCGCCACGUACCAUCUGGACGUUGACUAGCAGGGAUGAAUGUUCCACCUAUGAGAAUGUUUGCAAUAAGAAAGAAUAAAUUUUAUGAAUCAACAUGGAUCCAAGAUAUCUGUACCUAACAGUGGUAAAAUUGCAUGGGGAAAUUAUUUUGUCGGUCGUUGAUUAUCCAAAAACAUCGGUAAAAAGAUGGCAGCAAAUUGGACUCGACGUUUUCUAUAUCUUGUAAAAGAACUAGCCAAUAAUAAGAAUUCACCGAUGUUGCUUUUCAAAUUGGAAAAACGUUAAGUCUUCGAAGAUAUUACGCAACAGCUUAACUCGCUAACUCAGAGGAAGACGAAUUAAUUCAUCGCUUAAUUGAAGAAUCGUGAAUUCAAUUUCGUCGUUACAUUUACCCAUCUGCGUAUUUACGCGAGAAGUUUUUGUAAAGAAUCGAAAACUCUAUACGUAUAAGUAUGCGUGCGUGCACAUGUGUAUGAGCAAAGUGGCGAGGAACAGAGGGUAACAGCAGCAUAAUGUAUAGGUGAGACGGGUACGCGUU